AGUUUUGGAACCGCUAAAAACUUUCACAAGGCAGGCGACAGUCUUCACGUAGAAGCAACUAUGUAACAAGUGGUUCAGUGAAACGUCCGAGAGCAUUUGAUGAUCCCCGUAGACUUCUGACUUCAAAAAAAUAGCAGCACUUAAAUAGCAUCCCCUCUUCUUUUCUCCACCCUUCGCUUAUCAAAUGAAACACACAGGAAAUAAAACUAUGCACAGUGCUGAAGUCCUCGACGAAACACGUGGCGAUCAACACAGUAUAGUACAGGUCACGGUGGAACCUCACUAUUUCUUCAUGUCUGACCUUACAGUCUCUUGGGACUCGUUAAAGUAGCAUACAAGUAGCAGACGCACGGACACAGCGCGUCAUUUAUUUUCAUCAGAUCCCUUAUGAUGGUAACGACUCUCGAAAAUGUGGUUUUUGCGAUCGCCUGAAACGGUUGAUUUCCCUUGAAGACUUUAUUAAAUUUAAUGCCCGCAAAACCUCAGAUCGCAUAUAACUGAUUGCAACAUUAAGAAAGGAACAUAUAUUGAAGGUAAUUGAUAUCAGGGUGCUAAGGAUAAUAUUUGGACCUAAGAGGAAGAAGAUAAUGUAGGAAGAAGAAAAUUUCAUGAUAAUUGCGUCAUAAUUUGUAUUUAAUAAACAUAGAAUAGGCAUGUAAAAUGGUAUAAAUGAGAAAUGCGUACCUUUUUAGGAUAUUGAUUACUGUAGUAACACAUAAGUAUAUAAAAAUUUAUGUAACAAUAAUAUAUGGCUAAUAUAAAGUGUCAUAAAAUGGUAA